rnacentral:rRNA from 1 species
UCAAGCUACAAAGAGCACAAGGGGAAUGCCUUGGCACCGAGAGCCGAUGAAGGACGUGACUAACUGCGAUAAGCUACGGGGAGCUGUAAGUGAGCGUUAUAUCCGUAGAUUUCCGAAUGGAGCAAUCCGAUUAGAGGAAAGUCUAAUCAUCAUAUACUGAAUACAUAGGUAUAUGAGGGGAACCGCCUGAACUGAAACAUCUAAGUAGGGCGAGGAAGAGAAAUCAACAGAGAUUCCGUAAGUAGUGGCGAGCGAACGCGGAAGAGGCCAAACCUAAUGUAGUAAUAUGUUAGGGGUUCGGACAGUAAAAUGAAUUGUCGAGAUUUAGCCGAAUGUCAUGGGAAGGGCAAUCAAAGAAGGUGAAAAUCCUGUAGGCGAAAAGUUAAGACAUCAGACUGUAUCCAGAGUACCGCCGGACACGUGAAACCCGGUGGGAAUACGGGGGGACCAUCCUCCAAGCCUAAAUACUACUCGGUGACCGAUAGAGAAGAAGUACUGUGAAGGAAAGGUGAAAAGCACCCCGGAAGGGGAGUGAAAGAGAACCUGAAACCUUGUGUUUACAAGCACCGAAAGUUCAUCAACGAACGAUCGGGUACCUUUUGUAGAAUGGUCCGGCGAGUGAAUGUAACUGGCAAGGUUAAGCACUUAAGGUGUGAAGCCGUAGCGAGAGCGAGUCUGAAAAGGGCGCAUGAAGUCAGUUGUAUUCGACCCGAAACCGGGUGACCUACCCAUGUCCAGGCUGAAGUGCAGGUAAAACUUCAUGGAGGGCCGAACCGACUCCCGUUGAAAUGGUAGCGGAUGAGGUGUGGGUAGCGGAGAAAUUCCAAUCGAACCCGGAGAUAGCUGGUUCUCUCCGAAAUAGCUUUAGGGCUAGCCUUGGAAUAGAUUACUGGAGGUAAAGCACUGAAUUGGCUAGGGGCCGAGAGGUUACUGAACCUUAUCAAACUAAGAAUGCCAGAUAAUCGUUUUCCAGGAGUCAGACAGUGGGAGAUAAGUUUCAUUGUCAAAAGGGAAACAGCCCAGACCUACAGCUAAGGUCCCAAAGUAUAGUUAAGUGGAAAAGGAUGUGGAAUUGCAUAGACAACCAGGAUGUUGGCUUAGAAGCAGCCACUCAUUAAAAGAGUGCGUAAUAGCUCACUGGUCGAGUGAUUCUGCGCCGAAAAUUUAACGGGGCUAAACUAUACACCGAAGCUUAGGAUACCGCAAGGUAUGGUAGGAGAGCGUUCUGUACGGAGUGAAGUCGUAGCGAAAGCGGCGGUGGACUGUACAGAAGUGAGAAUGCCGGAAUAAGUAGCGAGAAUUAAGUGAGAAUCUUAAUGGCCGAAAGUCUAAGGUUUUUGGAGGAAGGUUCGUCCGCUCCAAGUAAGUCGGGAGCUAAGGUCAGGCCGAAAGGCGUAGCCGAUGCACAAACGGUUGAUAUUCCGUUACCGUCUACAAUUUAAACAAAGGGACACAUACAAAGCGUUUAACCCGGGCGAUGGUUGACCCGGGCGCAAGGGACUGAAAUAAGAGUAGGGAAGUAAAUGUGGCGUAUGGCGAGAAAAGCUUUGUGAAUAGAAGUAGACGCCCGUACCGCAAACCGACACAGGUGGACAGGAAGAGAAUUCUAAGGCCAGCGGGAGAAGGGUAGUUAAGGAACUCGGCAAAUUGACUCCGUAACUUCGGAAUAAGGAGUGCUCGAAAGAGCCGCAGAGAAUAGGCCCAGGCGACUGUUUAGCAAAAACACAGGUCUCUGCCAAAUCGAAAGAUGAAGUAUAGGGGCUGACACCUGCCCGGUGCCGGAAGGUUAAGAGGAGGAGUGCAAGCUCCGAAUUGAAGCCCCGGUAAACGGCGGCCGUAACUAUAACGGUCCUAAGGUAGCGAAAUUCCUUGUCGGGU